GACACGGAGACGCAGGUGCAGAAAACGCGUCUACUCGUUUAUGGUUUUAAAAUGACGGUUGUUUAGAGGACUAGAACAGAAGUUGUUGAAUACACGUAUUUUUAGAUACAGUUGAAACAACUUGCAUAACUUGAACGCACCUUUUCAGCAGAGUCCAUGAACCUGGACGCCGUCCUAGAUGGUUCCAAUUUCCAGCCCAUUCCCGAAUCUGCAACCCCAGUGACAGACAACACACCCUGGAACGGCUGUUUGACCAGGGAAGGGACUCGUUUCACUUCCUGCGCAACCCAAAAGACGGGACGGAGGCCGGCGAUGCAGAGCCGGCUCGGACGGGGGGCAUUAGAGACGUAGAGGUAGAUGAAGAAACACGAAACAAGACACAACGGGAUGGAGCUGCAGAAAAGCAAACAAACCGGUGGAACUCGGGAGGGAAAAAAAAAAAAGAAAAAAGAAAAAUUGGAUGGUUGAAAUCUCCAGCUCGAUCUGAGGUGCAGAGAGAUGAAGGCACACGAGUCCUUUAUCCAGCUAAUAUAAGACACAACAUGUGGUUUCACAGAGGAAAUGAAAGGAUUUCUGAGCUGACGUUGUCGUGCCGGCUGAGCUGUUCUCAGGUAAACUGCGGCACAAGCAGACUGAAGUCGAGUCACAAAAUGCAAUAACGCAUAACUUAAUCACUGCAGCGAUGUUAUCAAAAGACACAACUUGGCAAUGCUGGUUCCCCUUAAAUCAAAUCAAAGUGCAGGACUCAACAACUGAAUUAACAAUUGCCAAGACACACCUCGCUUCGCAUGAAAUGUUCUUUUUCUUUUAUUUGUUUUUUUUUUGCUUGUUUUUUAGUUUCAUCAAUGCAGAGACGUCAUUCACUGUGCUGUAACUGUACUCCCCUGGAGAUUGCCCGUCAUUUUUCUUAACGUUCGUGGCCAGUGGUUUAUAUGCUAUAACAACAAGAACACUAGAGAUGGUCUGGCAACCUGGAUUAGCUGAUUUUCAGUUUUCUAGGCCAUGACAGGUGUCCGGUUGGUCGGAAACUUUCAAAUCUGAAUCUGUUUUUUUGCCAAUCAGUGAACAAAACACACCUAAGCACCAACAGGUGGCACUAAAAACAACAAUCUUCGGUGUGGAAGUCUUGACCGAAGGAAAAAGAGGAAAAUUUGGUAAUUCUUCUUUAUCAGUGAUGUUUAUUAUUAAAAUAGAAAUAAAGGAGUUGUACGUCAACCAAAGAACAGUGGAAGAAGCUAUUUAAAAUGAAUAAAGUGCCAUGUGAGCUAUUAAUUCAGGUUGCAGCGUUUCUUUUAAACACACAGUAAAGCUACACCAGAAAGGCUUAAAGAGUACAAAAGAGUUUCUCUGAUUUAUCUUUGUGAGUUUUUAACUUGUUUGUCAUUUGGAAAUGACAGUAGCCUCUUAGAAAUCCUGCACUCAUGGUCAGAUCUACAAUCUCUUGGGAAUGCGCUCAGAAAUGGUGCUAGUAAUGCUAAUGAUACUAAUCAUACAGACAUCAUAUGAUUAUAAAGAUAGGUUGAAAUAUCAGCUCUGUAAUAACUCUGUUGCUAUUUUAGAAUGAUGAUGAUGAUGAUAUUAAAAACAUCCAAAAUAAAUGGAAAUUACCACAACCAGUUCAUAGAUUCUUAAAAUAAAAUCAUUCAUAUUAUUUUCUUCAGGCUAUUUUUCCAGGUGCACUGUGAUUGGGUGA